rnacentral:rRNA from 1 species
GACGAACGCUGGCGGCGCGCUUAACACAUGCAAGUCGAGCGAGAACCAGACCUUCGGGUCUGGGGACAGCGGCGAACGGGUGAAUAACACGUGGGUAAUCAACCCUCGGUACUGGGAUAGCCCGGGGAAACCCGGAUUAAUACCGGAUGGCCCUUCGGAUCUUCGGUUCCGAAGGAAAAGGUAGCUUCGGCCUCCGACCGAGGACGAGCCCGCGGCGGAUUAGCUGGUUGGUGGGGUAACGGCCUACCAAGGCGGCGAUCCGUAGCUGGUCUGGGAGGAAGAUCAGCCACACUGGGACUGAGACACGGCCCAGACUUCUACAGAAGGCAGCAGUGGGGAAUCUUGCGCUAAUGCGGGAAACCGUGACGCAGCGACGCCGCGUGAGGGAAGAAGGCCUUCGGGUUGUAAACCUCUUUCAGAAGGGACGAAGCUACUCGGGUUAAUAGCCCAGAGGGUGACGGUACCUUCAGAAGAAGCCCCGGCUAACUACGUGCCAGCCGCCGCGGUAA